UCUACCACUUCUUCACGUACCCCUUUAUUAUGGCUGGACCAAACCCAAGUAAUCAACCCACCACAUCCACCCGGAGACCGUCUCAUCACUCCAGCCAGUCUCCGCAGCUCCACGGCGACGGACUCCUUCGAUCUAGUUGAAGCGCCCGCCCGCCCUCCGCUGCCACCAACGCGGUGUCGAGCGUGCGGCGGCUGAGCAUCCAUACGCGGUGGAUUCGAAUGGGCACUGUGCAUGCGGCGGUAUUACUUUCACAUCACCGAUUCAUCACAUCAAAACAACAGAGGAGUUCAUAUAAAUAUCUAAUCCAAGAACAAGCCUGCAGAUUCGGCUGGAGCAGUGGUACAAAAGAUGGAAAAGGGGGAGACACGAACUAAGUUCGGUCAGGUUCAUUUGCUCGAUUUAGAUACAUUAUAAGGUCCUUUCCCAAAAAGGUACUAAUAGGCUACCGCAUGGAUCGAUCCUGUCCACAAUAUAGCUUACAUACUAUUUUCCCGUUUGGGAACCGAGAAACGAGCUUGCUAGCUAAGUCACAGCUCUUUGCUCUAUCUUUGGCUAUUCUUCUCCUCUGGUGCCUCACUUUGGAGCAAGCGCCUCCUUUUAUACACACGAGAGCAGCCCUUGGGAUAGCUUCUGGGAGAAUUCACCUGCAUAAUUUCUCUCUUCUUUCUUCUUGGCCGUCAUGCACCUAGCUAGUCUAUAGGUCUUUUAGGCUUUAUAGGCUUUGCAGCCAUUUGUAGCCCUUUUUCCGAGGCCAUAAUUUUGGUGCAGCCUUUCUGUCUUGGCAGAAAAUGAAGGUAGCCUUAUCUUCCUUUUGAGAUUUAGCUGCGCGUCAUGAUUGUGUCUUGGAGAUUAUUUUCAGGAAUAUUGCAGCCUUCUUCGUGUCUUCCAGUAUGCUAAUGGUUGCCUGUCUUCAUUUAAAAUUUCUUCCUUCAAUUCCUUCUCAUUGUCUUUCAUAAUUCCUAAAAAAGUCAAUUUAUUGAUCUACAUAUUCGCUGUCCAAAGGGUAUAUUUCCUUUAGAAGGCAUUCUUUGUAUGUAUAAUAUUUUGGGGAGUAUUUUUCCUUUAUAUUCUUUUAUCCUGAUGCUUCUCCCUUUGUAGUUUUAAGUGUUGAUGGAUUGGAUGCAUUUUUAUCUUUGCCUCUUCGCUUCUAAAUAUAUUCUUUAGCCUUUGGAUCGCUAUAAUAAUUCUCUCAUGUCACCUUUCUUUCCCACAACAAUGCGUCAUAUAAAUUAUAAUAUUUUUAAAAUAAUAAAUCUUUCUCCUCUUCGUUUCACAUUGUCUUUUCUAUCAUAAUAUCUUUCCAUGUCAUGUAUAUUCCUGGUUUACUUCCAUCAAGCAAAAUAUAUAAUGAUUUUUCUUUUUGUACUUAAUUUUUUGCUGAUUUUGGUGAAUUUCUGUUCAUCAUAUCAAAAUAUUGUGCAAGGCUAUUGAGAAUUGAUAACAUAUAUCAUUUUUCUUCUCUCUUAAUGGUAUAUAGAUAACAAAAUUAUCUAAUAUGAACCAUUGAAUUUCAUGAACGAGAAUAUGGCUCCUUGAUUUAAAAUUGAAAGUAUUAUGUGGAAAUAUUUUCAGCUUGUUAUCUUCUCCAAAAAUGAAAUAUUCAUUCCCGGUGGAGAGUAUAUAACCCUCUCUUCAUUCUUGUAUAAUCGAUAACUGGGAAAAUAUGUAGUUUCAUCAACCUAAAUAUACCAGUUCGAAUUUCAUCAACCCAAAUAUGUCAGGUCAAACUGAUGAACGAGAAGCAUCAUUUAGGUUUAACUUACAUAUUGACCCAUUCAUCAAUUUUUAUAGAAAUGAAGAGAGGAUUACUCUCCACUGGGAAUGAAAGCUUCAUAUUAGGAGAAGAUAACAAGCUGAAAAUAUUGCCACACAAAACAUUCAGUUUAAAACCGAAGAGCCAUAUCCUCGUUGAUGAAAUUCAACGGUGCAUAAAAGAUAAUUUCUGGUUUCAACACACCUUUAAGAGAGAAGAAAAAAGAUAUAUUCAUCAAUUCUCAAUAGCCUCCCAUAAUAUUUUAAUACGAUGAAUAGAAAUUUACCAAAAUAAAUAAAUAAGUACAAAAAUAAGAAUCAUUAUAUAUUUUGUUUGAGGAAGUAAACCAGGAAUAUACAUGGCAUGGGAAGAUAUUAUAAUAGAAAAGCUAGAUUUGAAACGAAGAGCGGAAGAUUUAACAUUUAAGAAUAUGAUAAUAUAAAUGAAGCAUUGUUUUGGGCGAGAAAGGUGAUAAGAGAGAAUUAUUAUAUCAACCCAGAAGUUAAAGAGGCAAAGAGGCAAAGAUAACACUGCAUCCAAUCCAUCAAAAAUUAAAACUACAAAGUGAGAAGCAUCUGGAUCAAAGAAUAUAAAGGAAGAAGACUCCCCCAAAUAUUAUACAUAUAAAUAAGGCCUUCUAAAGGAAAUUGACCCUUUGGACAGCGAAAUACAUAGAUCAAUGAAUGGAUGGAUGUUUUUUUAAGAAUUAUCAAUGAUAGUGAAGAAGGGAUUGAAGGAAGAAAUAUUAAAUGAAAUAAGAACAGAAAUGAAUAAAUUUUAUUUGAAGAAAUAAAGAAAGAAUAUACGAAGUUUGAUUUCAAUAUCUCAUAUGAUGAUCACAUGGAUAUCAUAGGACAUGGCAGCCACCUGAAUAAAGCCCAUAAAAACAACUACAAAUAUUACUAAAUUUGGGUUGAUAUUGCUAUCAAUUACUCGGCCGCAGGAGGACCUAUACUCGACCCGAAUAUUAAUUGAAUCAAAAUAAGUCAGAAUAUUAUUAACUAUUGAUCUGAAAAUAUCAAAAAUAUAUGGGAAGGCCGGAUCGCUAUAUAUAUACCAACAAUAUAGCGAUAAAAAUUUAUACUAUAAUUAAAAAAUAUAUACUGUAAUCAAUAUUAGAUCAGAUUUUGGUUAGGUUAAUAUGUGGAUACAUAUGCGCUUUUUAUCUUAAUAGUAUGUAGUAUUCACUCAGUAGGACACUACUCACAAUAGUGUUUACUAUUCAAUACACUAUUUGGAAUAGUAUUCACUAUUCACCGCAAUAUUUAAUUCAAUACGAUUAUUUGCACGUUCUAACUUGACUAUUUCUUUGAUGCAGGACCUAUUAUGGCUGACGAGGCCAACAAUUCGACCGACAAUGUGCGCAGUGGUGUAAAAUCCUACUCAGUACUCACCAUAUUUUUCAUUAUGUUGUAUCUAAUGUAGCUAGUUACGUUCACUUAGUAGUUUUAAUUGCAAAUUUACGGGUAAAUUCCUAUCUUCUUCCCAGAUAGUUCCACCUGAAGGGAACACUUCUCUAUGGCCACAAGAUUCUCAUUCAAACGCCACUCUGGGCUACACAGAGAACUACACACGUAGAGGUUUCUCCUAUAGGAUCCCUAGCAUAAGAACUCGUCCCAUAAAUUCAUAAAUAAAAAUACCAAGUGAAACCAAGAAAUUACAUCAUUUCCACAACAUAAUUUACAUAUGGCUUUCCCUUUUGGGAGGCCCCGAAGAGAUUACACAAUCUAAAGAAAAUUGUCUUCUAACUACCUUCUUGAGCCUACAAUGAUAUAGAUAUUGUGGUUCUUAUUGCAGGAUGAGGAACUACUACUACUACUGAGCAACGAGCUUGCUAGCUGGGUCACAGCUCUCUGCUGUAUCGAUGGUUGGUUCUUCUCCGUUUGGUGUCUCCCUUUGCAGCAAACGCCUCCUUUUAUAGGCGAGAGAGCAGCUCUCUGGAUGGCUUCCAGGAGAAUUACCUCUUUAUUUUUUAUGUGGUAGGGUGGAUGCAUGUACUUCUAGGGUGUGGAUAAGAGCGAGAGAUAGUGCCCGGACAAGCUUCAAUCUUGAGGAAUAUUUCAAGUCAUUUCUUUUUCA